UUCAGUUCUGUAAAUCAAAAAGCCAAAAAUGUACAAAAUAAAGAUCACACGUGACUUGCAAUAUAUGGAAUGCUAAACUGUCGAAUCAACACAUUGUCUUUAUACCUGUUAAGUAAAACAGUUGUCCUUCCUCUCCUCUGGUGUGUUUGCUGCCCAAACAUCAAAUGAGAAGUGGUCGGACGCCUCCAUUUUAAAGAGAAUCUUAGAGGGCAGAUUGGCGCCGUGAUCUCAUCAAAGGAACAAUUAACAGUAUACCUCUGAAUGAGGAUGAACACGGCAGUAACAACCAAGUUAAUCACAGCUGAUGAAUGGUUCCUGCAAUCAGUUUGUGAUCAUCCGUCGCUCAAUUAAUCACACAGAAAUUUCUUCACUCACAAACACACAAAGCAUAUUCAAAUUAUUGGAAACUUUGUUAAUUAUGGUGAUUGACUUUGAUGUAUUUGGUUUGAGGUUAAAUCUUAAUUGUGUACAAUAUAUACACCUUUCUGGCAUCAGUAAACAUGGCCCUCAUCAACAGCACAAAACAAGGUACGACCAAAGAUGUAACAUCUUACUAUUAGCAUCUUGUGGCUGCUUUUCAGAUUCACAGUGGCCUCGAAGAGCCCACAGACAUAACCAACAUGACCGUGUGGGAAACUCAUCUCAAGAAUGCCUUCAUGUACGGGCUUCUGCCAGACGUCUGCCACUGAGCACUCUUGUGGGUCUGGAAGAUGCAAGGCUCACAGAAGUGAGAAGAGAAGGGUUACGAAGAUUCUGCUGACAUCCAUGACAAUGAUCAUGUCUAUGACAACAUGGAGACUGACUGCGAUGACGCAAUCUACACAAAUAUGUAACUUUGUUGAAUUCAUUGGAGGAACAGAGCAGUCCCUCUGUUACCAACUGCUACCAACGGGAAGCUGUCAACAUAUUAUAACCCUCUUCUGUCUGUAUGCCAAGUGAGAUUUUUCUUUCCCAGGCAUUCAUAAAAUAUUCAUGUUUUUUAAAGUUGUGCAUUUAAAAAAUAACGUAAUAACCCCCUGACAGCUUGUUCUAUCAUCAGUAACGUAUUUGUGUUGUGACAAAUCACCAUAAAACGACUGCCGAAUUUUACUUGCUCAUAUGUGGGAAAACGCAUCGCUAUUAAACAGCAGCAGUCACCCAAAAUAACAAGUUAGGUCUCUAAACUUCCUGUUUUGUAGAAAUGGUUUCUGAUAAGAUGAUUUCCGAGAACAUUAACGCCAUAGAAUCGGAAAAACCGUUAACACGGUAAAGAACUAUAAAUAUUGCCUGUUCCUUUUUUUUUUUUUUAUCCGCUGUACAGGCACGUACACAGAUAGACCCCUAGUGGUGCUCGAGCACCUGC